rnacentral:rRNA from 1 species
GAUAAACGCUGGCGGCGUGCCUAAUACAUGCAAGUCGAACGAGGGGUCCUUGUAGCAAUACGGGGAUUUCCUAGUGGCGAAUGGGUGAGUAACGCGUUGGUGACCUGCCCCUGAAUCUGGAAUAACUUCGCGAAAGCGAGGCUAAUACCGGAUAUUGUCCCAGGGACUUCGGUCUCUGUGAUGAAAGAUGACCUCUUCACGAAAGUUGUCGUUCAGGGAGGGGCCCGCGUACCAUUAGCUAGUUGGUAGGGUAAUGGCCUACCAAGGCGAAGAUGGUUAGCUGGUCUGAGAGGAUGACCAGCCACACUGGCACUGAAACACGGGCCAGACUCCUACGGGUGGCUG